UACAGAUGUGGCAAGCGUUGUUCGGAAUUACUGGGCGUAAAGCGUGCGCAGGCGGCUUUGCAAGACAGAUGUGAAAUCCCCGGGCUUAACCUGGGAACUGCAUUUGUGACUGCAUGGCUGGAGUGCGGCAGAGGGGGAUGGAAUUCCGCGUGUAGCAGUGAAAUGCGUAGAUAUGCGGAGGAACACCGAUGGCGAAGGCAAUCCCCUGGGCCUGCACUGACGCUCAUGCACGAAAGCGUGGGGAGCAAACAGG
rnacentral:rRNA from 1 species